UUUUUCCUGUCUGCUUGCCUUGGUAUAGUGUAUACCUUGGAUUUGACAGUUUUAUAUCUUAAUAGUCGUAAUCAUUAAUUUUAGACACAUUUAAAUGACUAUAGGUUUGGAUAUAUACGUAUGUGCAAUAUUGCCAACGCCAACCAACUGUUACGUAAGGCCUACCUAAUGUGCACUGAACAUCUAUAGAUAAUAACCAGUCACCCGUGGACUAUUAACAUUAUAGACUCUCUUUUGAAUAAAUGGACCGGUGAAAUACUCAUGUUGCCGUAAUAUAAACAGCGUUUAAUUGGGAUUUGACUACCGAAUUUGACUGUUGAAUUUCGCUCGUGAGAACAAGUUGAUUUACAUUAGUUGUACUUGCCAUGGAGGAAUUUGAUUACCGAUUUAAAGUAAUAUUACUGGGUGACUGUGGAGUGGGUAAAACCUCCUUGAUACGAACACUUAGCCAAAAAAAUGAAUCAAAUAUUGGGGGAUGCUGUUGUUACUCCUUUACACCAAAUGGAAGUGCCAAUUUAGAAUUCAAGAAACAUGGGCUUCGAGUUAGUGUCCAAGUUAUUGAUACAGGUGGUCAAGAAAGAUAUCGAAGUAUGACUACAUCUUAUUUUCGUGGAGUAGACGGCUGUUUAAUAAUGUAUAAUAUAAACAACGCCAGUUCCUUUGAGAACGUCCCAGACUGGGCUGAAACAUUGGAGAAUCACACAUGCAAGAAUAACCUCACAGUCAUAUUAGCAGGAACUCGAAGCAAAACAUCAUGCGAUGCACAAGUACCAGAAGCUAGAGCGCGUAAAAUGUCCGACUAUCUGGAAGUGCCAUGUGUUCAAAUUGACUUGGAUAACGUUUCAAAUAUCAUCGAAGUGUUCGAACAACUUGUUGACAUCAUGAUGAACAAAUAUCGUAUAAAAGAAUCAAGUACUGUUGAACUAACACGCCCGUUAGACGCUGUUGUACCGGAAAAAAAAAGAUUUGAGUGUUUAUGUUGAAACAAAGAACAAAAUUGGCCUUCUCUGUUUAUCACCACACCACCUUAAAUUAGCAGAGAGUAUUGUGGGAGGAGGCACAUUUUAACACCACCCAACCUCCCCAGAGGUGUACUGACACUAUAAUAAUGGGUUUUAGAUACAUAAUCGCAUACAUUGAUGCAGCUUUCUUCAAAUAACACGACCCAGUCUAUCUUAAGAAUUUUAAAAAUCUCAAUUAUGCACCAGUGAGUGUGUUGAACCAACAGUUAGUUUCUCGCUUACAAAAACUUUUCGCUUGUGUUGCAGAGGGGAUUAUGUUUGAAUAUAUAUUUAAGAUUUAUGGAAACCUUCAUGUAAACCUUGUUGAAAAUGGUUGGUCUUCCCCCGAUCUUUUUUUACGUCAUGUGGACGUGGACGUAUACUGUCGUUGCCCCUUUCCGCGAGGACGUCCGUCCGUCCAAAAUUUGUUUGCGGACACUCUACAGGUCACAAUUCUUAUCCGAUUUUGACGAAACUUGAAAUAUAGGUUUAUCUCCAAAAGAUCGCGGUUCCUUUCGAUAUUGACAUGUAUUGGAUAAAAACUUCAUGGAAUAUAUGGCCAAUAAUAUGAUUGUACGAAAAAUCACGUUUUUAGCUUGUGGGCACUCUAAAGGUCACAAUAAUUGUCAUCUGAUUUUGAUGAAACUUGAAAUGCAUGUUUAUAACCCAAAUAUAUAAACAGUUCAUAUGGGCGGCUUAUCUGACGGCUCCAUUUCACUCGCAAAGAGAUACACUGUCAAAAGUGAAAAUGGACGUUUUUGAUUUUUGUCUUGAUAAUGAGUAAUUGCUCCACCAAUCCUUAGACAUUCAGCAAUAUUCGUCGUGGCGUGCUACUACCAAUUCUUACAGUGUUGACGUUGACGAACACGUCUCCCGAUCAUGUCCUGGGACAUGCUCUAUAGGGGAAAGGUCAGGACUCAUGGCUGGCCAAGGCAUAUGGACAAUAUGGUGACGCUAGAGGUUGUCAUUCGCGACACGAGCGCGGUGGGCACGGGCAUUAUCAUCUUGAAAGAUGAAACGUGGACCUGCACGUUGAGCAAAGGGCAGAACUAUCGGUGCCAGGAUGUGGUCACGGUGGUUCAGACCAGUGACCCUUCCUUGAACAAUAUGCAAGUCCGUUCUGUCAGUCAUGGUGAUUCCUCCCCACACCAUAACAGACCCACGCCCCAAUCUGUCAUGCUGUCUGACGUUAACGUUAGUAUGACGCUCAUUUACACGCCUCCAAACGUGAGCACGCCUAUUGGUGAAAUCCAGAGUAAAUCUGGACUCGUCUGAGAACAUUACACGUGCCCAUCGACGAUUACCCAAAUUUCUACGCUGCCUACACCAUUGACGCAUGUUGCCAUGUGCUUGCGAGUUAAUGGAGGCACAACACGCGGACGUCGCACAUGCGUGUCGCAUGUGCAGCUCAGUGGUUCUGUUGGGGCAAUAAGUUCUUCAUCUGUGAACAUACUCUCAAAGCAUGCAAAGUGUCCAUGACUAUUUAUCAUAUCACAACCUGCAUAGGAAUUUGCAUUUCAAUAUCUCCUACUUUUUUUAUACGCCCACAUUUUCAUGUGGACGUAUAUUGUCGUCGCCCCUGUCCGUCCGUCCGUCCACAAUUGUUUGUGAACACUCUAGAAGUCACAAUUUUUAUCCAAUUUUAACGAAACUUGAAAUAUAGGUUUAUCACCCUAAGAUCUCGAUUCUUUUCGAUAUUGGCGUGUAUCGGACUGUUAACUUCAUGGAUUAUGGCCCUUGAUUGUACGAAAAAUCACGUUUUUAGCUUGUGAACACUCUAGAAGUCACAAUUUUUAUCCAAUUUUAACGAAACUUGAAAUAUAGGUUUAUCACCCUAAGAUCUCGAUUCUUUUCGAUAUUGGCGUGUAUCGGACUGUUAACUUCAUGGAUUAUGGCCCUUGAUUGUACGAAAAAUCACGUUUUUAGCUUGUGAACACUGUAGAGGUCAAAAUUUUUAUCCGAUUUGGUUUAAACUUGAAAUAUAUGUUUAUAUACCACAGAUCUCAGAUCCUUUCGAUAUUCGCGCAUAUCGGACCAUAACUUCCUGAAUUAUGGCGCCUGAUUGUACGAAAAAUGGCGUUUUUAGCUUGAGGUCCCUCAAGAUGUCACAAUUUUUACCCGAUUUAAAAAAAAACGUGUGAAUAUAUCACUGUUACACCCUUAUGAUGGUUGAGUCUGAAUUUUGUACAAAUCGGACCAAAACUGCCCCUCGUACGCAAAUAUUGUAAAUAUAUGGUAUAUCAAGGUUUUGGACCCUCUAGAGAGGACACAAUUUUGAUCCGAUUUUGAUGAAACUUGAAAUACAUGUUUAUAACCCAAAGAUCUUGGUUCCUUUCAAUAUUUAUGCAUACCGGAUCGUAACUUCCUGAAUUAUAGCCCUUGAUUGUACAAAAAAUCACUUCUUUUUUUUGAGCUUGUUCUCUGUCCAUCUCUUGCAAAAUGUGGGCAGAUCUUGCACGGCAACCGCUUGUUUGAAGAGUAUAUAAUACCUAGAAAACUAUAAUUAAAGAUGUUAUCUAUUUUUCAUUUGUAUAUGCAGAAAUUGUGUUACGGUUAUUUUCAUAUAUGCAUUUUAUCGAAUCUUGAACUUCAUAUCUCAUAUUAAGUGUUAAUGUAAUUGUGAUAUUUUAUAUAUUUAUAUACAUUCUUAUCAUUUAGUAAAAACAUCUGUGUUGUU